CUUGAGAAAUCCAAAUCGUAUGUGGGAAAAAUCCGAAACAAACCCUAAUCUGUGGUUAAACGAAAUCCAAAGCUGUGGAGAGAGAGCCAUGGACGCGCUGAGGAAGCAGCUGGACCAGCUCAUGGGAGCCAAUCGGAACGGCGACGUCCGGGAGGUCAAUCGCAAAUAUUACGAUCGCGAUGUGUGUCGCCUCUACUUGGUCGGACUCUGCCCCCACGAGCUCUUCCAAUUAACGAAAAUGGAUAUGGGACCCUGCCCGAAGGUUCACUCUCUGCAGCUCAGAGAAGAAUACAAAGAAGCGAGAAAACAAGGGACUGAUAACUAUGACAGAGACCUGGAGGAUGUCAUAGAUAGGCUCAUUGUUGAAUGUGAUCGAAAAAUUUCUAGAGCCCUUAAGCGCCUCGAGGAUGAUGAUGCAAAAGCUGCUAUUGCAAUUUCUGUCUCUGAGGUUACUCAGACACCGGAGAUACUUGAGUUGUCAAAGCAGAUCAAAGAGAAGCUUGAAGAAGCUGAUAGAUUCGAUCUUGAAGGCAAGACAGAUCUUAAGAUUCGGGCUCUGGAGAUAUUAGAAGAACUCAGAGGCAAGAGAGCAGACAAACAGUCAAUGCUUCUUUUGGAUGCUUUCAAUAAGGAUAGGGCAGCUUUACCUCAACCCCUGCCAAACCCACCACCUUUGGCACCGUUGCCUGUAGUUGUUCCUGACGCUCGAACGCAGGAAAUGAUAAAUGAAAAGUUGAAGAAGGCAGAGGACCUUGGUGAGCAAGGAAUGGUUGAUGAGGCGCAAAAAGCAUUGGAAGAGGCUGAAGCACUGAAAAAGUUGCCUGCCCGGCAGGAGCCUGUCCUGGAUUCCUCUAAGUACACUGCUGCAGAUGUGCGCAUUACGGAUCAAAAGCUGCGUGUUUGUGACAUCUGUGGAGCAUUUCUGAGUGUUUAUGACAGUGAUCGUCGUUUAGCUGAUCAUUUUGGUGGGAAACUUCAUUUAGGCUAUAUGCAAAUCCGUGAGAAGUUAGCAGAGCUGCAGGCUGAGAGAAACAAGAUUCGCAAGGUUGAUCGGUAUGAUGAAAGAAGAUCAAAAGAGAGGAGCAAGGAACGUGACAGAGAAUCAAGUAGGGACAAGGAACAGGGAGAUAGCCGCGACCGGGGGAGGGAUCUCGAUCGUAGGAGUAGAGAUCGUGAUAGGUACUAUGAUCGCGAUCGUGGAGAGCGUGACAGAGAUUCAAACCGUUCCCGCAAUUAUGAUUCAAGAAGUCACCGUAGGUCACGCUCUCGGUCACGUGAACGUUCCAAGGAUUAUGAUCGCCACAGGCGUUAUGACCGAUACUAGUUCUUGCUUUGGAGUAUGCGGAAAAAGGAUAUUUCGUGUUCUUGUCUAGGUCAGUUUUAAAACUUAUGUACCCAGACGGUAUAAUGUUUCUUCCUAAGUUCUUUUGUUGGAGUUGAGCUGUUUCUCCUGUGAUGGAUGUAAGGACUGCUGCUUAGUUUUUCUCAACUUCAUAUUUAAGAGGUAUGCAUGAGAGAACUCUUUACGAAGAUGGAAGGUCUCUUUGGCAAAGAUUGUCUUGUGCGGUGUGUGAUCCGGAUCUGUUCUAUCAAUGAUCUUGUGCAUAUAAAAGCUUCAGGACAUAUAUAUAUGUUCUUGGGAGUUGUAGUUGUGAGGUUUUGAUAUUAUGCUGUGAAACAAUUAAUGUCAGAACUGUUAUGUGCUUGCUGGAGAAAGUUCAAUUGGCCUAUUUAUAUAUUUUAAAAACAAUCUCAAGUUUCUGAAUCAA